GACAGAGGAUGCAAGCGUUAUCCGGAAUGAUUUGGGCGUAAAGCGUCUGUAGGUGGCUUUUUAAGUCCGCCGUCAAAUCCCAGGGCUCAACCCUGGACAGGCGGUGGAAACUACCAAGCUGGAGUACGGUAGGGGGCAGAGGGAAUUUCCGGUGGAGGCGUGAAAUGCGUAGAGGAUCGGAAAGAACACCAACGGCGAAAGGCACUCUGCUGGGCCGACACUGACACUGAGAGACGAAAGCUAGGGGAGCGAAAUGGG
rnacentral:rRNA from 1 species